rnacentral:lncRNA from 1 species
UUAAAUCAUCUAUGUGGGACAAAAGAAAACACAAAAUGACUAAUUUGAUAUAGUAAAACUUAAAAAGCUGCAGAAUGUAUUUUUCCUAAAAUAACAUAAAACAUCGAACAAUAAUAAGUAAGCAUUACUUUAAUAUAAACUAACAUAGACAUGAGUGAUAGAAAAUAUAGCUUGUAAGCUUUGACUACUCUUGUUCUGUUCAAAACCAAGAAAGAGAAAACCAAUAAUCAAAAGUUUGUCUCAUGUAUUCUGUUCAAAAUCAAGAAAGAGAAAACAUCAUCAACUACACUCAUUUUCUUUACAGAGUAUAGUAAAACCAGAAAAACAACAACUCUUAACAACCACCAAAAUACUUUUAGUAGAUGGAGUUAAUCUUCGAUUAACUAUGGCACACAAUUACCUCUACUUUCAUACUAAGAUACUUUAUUUUUAAUUUGGAAAAUAUUCAUGAACCCUACAUUUUAUUCCUUAAUGAUAUAGUAUUCCUUGGAUGAUCUAACUUUUAGGGUAGAUCUUACACCCAUUAAAGUACUUUUAGAGUGUGUUUGAUUUGGGAGUAAAUGGAAGGGAGGGGUGAAUAUAUUUUUAAUUAAAUAUGUUUAGUUUAAGUUUUAUGAGAUGGGGAAGGGAGGAGAAGGGUGCAAAACCCCUCAAUUAUUUUAUGUAUUUGUUUUUUUAUUUGAUUCAUCACAAUUAAAAAAUUAUUAUCAACAUAUAUUUUAAUCCGUAUCAAAGAGUUAUAAUCUAAAUUAAGUAUACUCAAUUUUUUAAUGAUAUAUAAUAAAUAAUAAUUUUUUUAAUCACUCAAUAUUAGAAGUUUUGUUUAACUAUAUCUACAUAUUUUAUUAUCAAAAAAUAUUUACAAAAUUUUCAUCUUUGAAUAUCAUAUGAAUUAUAUAAAAUAAUAAAGAAUAAAAAUAUAAAUUAUUCAUAAAAUUUCUCCCCUCCUUUUGUUAACAAACCAUAUUUUUAUUUAAAAUCAGCAUUUCCUCUCUUCUCCUCUCUUUAUAUAAGAUAUAUACAUAUAGAUAUAUAUAAUAAUAUAUAUAAAAUUCUUCGUCUCCCCUCACCUUUUUUUUUCUAUUAAAAUUUCUUUCUUUCUCAUAGUAUUGAUGAGUGUUGGCGAUAUUAAUAUUAUUGAAGAUAUAUUUAAAAAUUGGAGUUAUGACUACGAUUCGUGCUAUUAUAAUGUAGUUUUCGAAUCAAAUCCAUAAUUUUGUAACAUGUUUAUAAAUUUAAUUGAAUGUUUACAAGUCUUUUACAUUCCUUCCACCGCAAGGUGUAGAUUUUAAUCUAGUUUUGUAUUAAGUACGAAAAAUCUUUUAAAUUUUUUAAUCCAGUCAACGAUCCUUUUAAUUAUUAAUAUUUUGAAAGGUAUAAGUAAUUACUCAACAUAAACACAAUCAAGAUAUUUUUUUAAAGAAAUUAUUUAAAAUAUAGUCACGACGAUGCAGUUUUCGUUAUAUACUAUGAACAAAUAAACAUGUAAGAAUUCUCUUAUUAUAUUAUAAUAAUAAAAUUUUGAGCUUGACAAAUAAAUUUAAAGAUAAAAAUAUAAAUCAAAUUGUGAGAGAAAUUAUAGAGUUACCAGCAUUAUAAUGUACAAAUAAAAUAAUACGAUUUGAAGUAGCAUUAUUUUUCAACUUUAUUCUACUUCCAUGCACUCACAAUUAGAAGAAAUGCACAUAGGUAUGAAAGGAAUGUGACAUGCUUUAUUGUAACAAUCCCGGUGAAUUUUACAAGGGAAUGGAUAAUCUGCAAUGUCAAAUUAAAAUAAAAGGUUGUUCUAAUAAAUAGUUGAUUUAAAAAAAUAGUAUGUAUUUGAUGUGAAAGAAUCUUUGAAAAUGGUGUGAAGAAAAGACUUACAGACUUUGUAUCUACCCCUGACGGCAUUGGUUACAACAAAACACAAAGAAAGAAAGACUAUCAAAGGAUAAAUAAAUUUGAGGAUUUGACUCAUUUUUUCUUCUUUUGCAUGUAAUAAGUUUAAAAAUGUU